rnacentral:tRNA from 1 species
GCAGCAGGCUUGGCUGAAUGGUUACGCUGUCCGCUUUAUAAGCGGAUGAUCAUGAGUUCGAUUCUCAUCUGCUCCA